CCUAAAUUUCCUUUUUUCAUUUCACUUCAUACGCUUCCUUCUCUCUCUGUCGGCGCCUCUCUCCCCUGCUUCCCUUCCCAAUCGACUCUCUCCCCCACUUCACUGCCGGCAUCCCCGACACCGGUGACGUCUCCUUUUUCUCCCCAACGACCAUAAAUCUUCUCCCUCCCCAGUUAUCGAUAUCUCCCUUUUCCCCAUCCCUUGAGUACUACCUUCAAGGAAAUACAGAGUCUGCAAGCUGCUCGUGAGUUUUUUUUUCUUUUUAUUUUUUUUUUAUUUAUCACUUGUGCGCUUUGUGUAUUAUUGAAUUGGCACGAUAUUAGCAUUUUUAAUCUUGUUCUUGUAGUUUCCUUGUAUGAGAUUUUGCUCUAUCUCUGGGUUGGUGCAAAUGGUGUUUUUUUGUUUUACCUGAGUCUGGCAUCUGGAUAUUGCUGGAUGCGUGCCAUUAUUUGAGUCUGGCAUCUGUGCUUUGAGAAGCUAUUUUGUUAUGUUUCUGUUUGGUUUUUUGCUGGUUUUUUGCUGUUUGUCUAUUAUUGUUGUGCAAACCUCACACUCUGUUUUUUCCUACUGGUUUCUACCAGAACUUUUGUUAGUUGUUUCUGUUUACCUCUCUCCUUUGAUGAACUGAGAUAUUUCAUGUGUGAUUCAAUCUCUCCCCUGAUUAGUUAAGGAAGAUUGUACUCAAGAUUGACAUGUAAGUUUGCAGAAGUUUGUCAAAUGGAAAAAAAAUAAAAAUUAUGUGAAUUUAAAUAGGUCCAUGCCACUUGAUUUUGUGCAUGUUUAUGUUUGCCAAUUCCUCCAAGAUCGGACAACAAGCAGCAUCCCGUGAGCAAGUUCAUGCUUUAUUUUCUGACAUUAAUUGUCAGAGAAUAAGUAUUGAUGAUCUUGAGUGUCAAAGAAAACUAUUAAGUUGGUGAAUAUGGAGAUCCUUGUCUCUUCAAAAUGGCAAAUUAUUUUCUCAAAUAUAUAAACACCUGUGUCUUCAGUUGCAUCUGAGUCUGCUUUUAGUACUGGAGGUAGAGUUGUUAGUAUUCAUAGAAGUAGACUCCAUGAAGAUACUUUGGAAGCAUUGAUGUGCUCACAAAAUUGGUUAUGGUCAGAAAUUGAAGCUGGCUGUUCAAAUGAGAGUAUAUCUUGUUUAUGGGAUGCUGAGGAUGAUGUGAAUUAAAUCAUGCAUUUCACAAUUUUAAUAUGUUUUCAAGCACAAUUUGAUAUUGGAGAUUGAAAUAGCCAAUUGAAUAUAUUUUAUAUUCAAUCAAUGUAGUUUAAUGAACUUUUGGAACAUUUCAUUUGUUCAAAAUUUUAUGUUGGAUAGAUAAUUGAUUAAUGGUUGUGUUAUUAUGAAUUUGUAAUAUAUUUAUUUUGUUUUAGUA